rnacentral:rRNA from 1 species
GCAGUGUACCCGCGGCAAGACGGAAAGACCCCGUGAACCUUUACUAUAGCUUGACACUGAACAUUGAGCCUUGAUGUGUAGGAUAGGUGGGAGGCUUUGAAGUGUGGACGCCAGUCUGCAUGGAGCCGACCUUGAAAUACCACCCUUUAAUGUUUGAUGUUCUAACGUGGACCCGUUACCCGGGUUGCGGACAGUGUCUGGUGGGUAGUUUGACUGGGGCGGUCUCCUCCUAAAGAGUAACGGAGGAGCACGAAGGUUGGCUAAUCCUGGUCGGACAUCAGGAGGUUAGUGCAAUGGCAUAAGCCAGCUUGACUGCGAGCGUGACGGCGCGAGCAGGUGCGAAAGCAGGUCAUAGUGAUCCGGUGGUUCUGAAUGGAAGGGCCAUCGCUCAACGGAUAAAAGGUACUCCGGGGAUAACAGGCUGAUACCGCCCAAGAGUUCAUAUCGACGGCGGUGUUUGGCACCUCGAUGUCGGCUCAUCACAUCCUGGGGCUGAAGUAGGUCCCAAGGGUAUGGCUGUUCGCCAUUUAAAGUGGUACGCGAGCUGGGUUUAGAACGUCGUGAGACAGUUCGGUCCCUAUCUGCCGUGGGCGCUGGAGAACUGAGGGGGGCUGCUCCUAGUACGAGAGGACCGGAGUGGACGCAUCACUGGUGUUCGGGUUGUCAUGCCAAUGGCACUGCCCGGUAGCUAAAUGCGGAAGAGAUAAGUGCUGAAAGCAUCUAAGCACGAAACUUGCCCCGAGAUGAGUUCUCCCUGAGACUUAGAGUCUCCUGAAGGAACGUUGAAGACGACGACGUUGAUAGGCCGGGUGUGUAAGCGCAGCGAUGCGUUGAGCUAACCGGUACUAAUGAACCGUGAGGCUUAACCUUACAACGCCGAAGCUGUU